CAUAUACUCCCUCCGUCCAAAAAUACUUGUCAUCAAAAUGGACAAAAAAAGAUGUAUCUAGAACUAAAAUACAUCUAGAUACAUCCUCUUUUAUUCAUUUUGAUGACAAGUAUUUCCGGACGGAGGGAGUAUAUG
rnacentral:pre_miRNA from 1 species